UACGUAGGGGGGCUAGCGUUGUCCGGAAUCAUUGGGCGUAAAGAGCGUGUAGGCGGCCCGGUAAGUCCGCUGUGAAAGUCGGGGGCUCAACCCUCGAAUGCCGGUGGAUACUGUCGGGCUAGAGUGCGGAAGAGGGCGAGUGGAAUUCCUGGUGUAGCGGUGAAAUGCGCAGAUAUCAGGAGGAACACCGAUUGCGAAGGCAGCUCGCUGGGACGUAACUGACGCUGAGACGCGAAAGCGUGGGGAGCAAACAGG
rnacentral:rRNA from 1 species